rnacentral:misc_RNA from 1 species
AAAAAUGAGGUAUUUUAUACCUCUUGUAUUUAAAACCAACUCUUUUUUUAAAUAUAAAUUUUUUAAAAAAAUAAA